AAAUUGUGAACUUCCCAUUAGAAUGAAUAGUAAUUUAUUAAUAAUCAAUUUCGAUAUUCCUAGUUUUGUAGUAAAAGUAAUUAUACUAAUGUUUACUUUCUCUACUAGUAAAUAAUGUCCUAUUGUCAAUGCUGCAAUAUAAUACGUAUAUCUUGUUUAUACAAUUCUAUUGGUAUUUAAUCGCAAAAUUUUUCUCUUGGUUAAAAUUUCUCAGACAAAUAAUGCCUGAAGAAAUUAAUAAGUCAAUCGAAUAUUGCUAUUUAUAAUAGAUCGUCAGUAUCCAUUUUCUAAUUUUACUGUAUCAUAUUAAAAAUAACUAACUAUUCCAAUAACUGUAGCCAGUGCUAAAUGGUCUUUCUCUAAAUUAAAACUGAUAAUAUCAUAUUUAAGGACAUUGAUGGCUCAAGAAAGAAUAACUUCACUAGCAAUUGUAUCUAUUAAAAAAGGUAUGGCUCCUAACUUGGACCACAAUGUAGUAAUAAAUGAAUUUGAGAAGUAUAAAACAAGAAUAAUGAACUUUAUUUGGAUUAUAGUAAUAA